rnacentral:rRNA from 1 species
GAGUGACUGAAGUAAAAGUCGGAACAAGGUCUCCGUUGGUGAACCAGCGGAGGGAUCAUUA